UAAAAAUAACAUUCUUGGCAAUACUGUACAUUCAUUUUCAUAACUGAAAUUCUUCCCCAAAGUGAUAAAUUCAUCCUUCCCCAGACAUCCGUAAUUUCUUUAUCUCUUUCCAUGUUGUUACAUACCUAUCCUUAAAAAUAUUUAUAUUCUUGACUGUUAGCCAUACCUUCACCUUUCCCCUCAAUUAUCAAUUGUGUUGCUACUUGUAGCUCAUUUUUAUUUUGUUCUGUCAUAUUUUUCACCAGUAGGUUUGUUUUAUUUUUAUUUAACUUGAAUCCUGCCACCUGUCCGACCUCAGAUAUUGUGUAUAUUUGGUAUACUCGCCAACAGGUUUCCUACAAGGUCAUCUGCAAAUGAUCUCCUUUUAUUUGCUGUGCACCCAUCUGUUAUACCUUUUAUUUCUUCAUCAGAUCUUUUGUUCCUUGCCAGGGUCUCUAAUACAAAUAUACAAUAAACAAUAAAAUAAACAGUAACUAAAAUAAACAAUAACAGUGACAGGGGUCAACCCUAUCUUGUCCCUUUUGUAAUUUUACAUUAUCCUGUGCCUCAUUACAUCAAUACAUCAAGCCCAAAUAGGCUCACCACCCAAGCGGGGUGGGGGCGGGAAGUCAAUCCUGGCUUUCAGAAUGUAGUGAUCAGACCAUGGCACUUCCACAAGUGAGGACAUGAUCCUCACCAAAAAUCAUACUAUACCCGCACCAAAAAUCAAAUCCAGCAUGUGGUGAGAGCCCUAAUAUUGCCAUGGAAGACACCAGGUCCAGAGCCUGUGAGGAGGGGGUGGCAUCAGCAUGGACAUUGAAGUCCCCCAAAACCUCCAAGACCCAGCCUGCCGCCACAUCCAACAGGCCUGACAGGGUGGCUACUGGUGGUUGGUACACCAGCCAGACAGCCAAGCUCUCCUUUGUGCCCCACACUAGGCCAGCACAUUCAAUGCUGGAGAUUGAUGGUGAUGGCAGAGCCCUGAAAGAGCAAUCCUUCUGGAUUAACAACGCUCAAUUUUAUGCUCAAUUGAGAUUUUAUGCUCUUUAUGCUCAAUAAUCUCCUCUUCAGUUCUUCUAAUUCUUCUAAUUCCAAACUCACGGGUUUAUCUUCCUCCUUCGUGCAGGUAUUGUUUCUUAUUGGCGUUUGCUUUGGUUCUCUGCCGGGGACUGGCUGCCUCACUGUCUCAUCCUUGAAAACCCUUAUCAGGGGUCCUAGGAGGCCAUUUUGGAUGAAGGCAGAGUGACCGGAAAGAGGCGCCACCAGAGGAGAGGCAAAUGAAGACAUGCCACCACCGCCAUAUUGGUUGAGGGCAGUUGGGCCUAGCCUGGCCAUUUUGUGGCACUGGUCUCCCUUGUGAGCAUUUCCCUGAGCGCUAAGCUCCUUCAGGAGCUGCCCAGGUAGACUGCCACUGGCACGGGAGGCUCCACCCGAGAGAAGAAGCGCCUAGGAGGCCAGGGUAGCCCCACAAGGUGGGCUUCUGUCCCCCUGGGCGUCUUUUGGGGUACAGGGGCCUCCGCCCUGCCAACCUUUGGCCCCCCUCACCCUGCCGGCUUGCAGAUAAGCUGGGCCUCCAUUUCUUAGCUGGGCCGCCUCCAGGAACCCAAGUGCUGGCGCCUGCAACUUUGCCUGCGACUGCUGGGAUUGCUCUGACAAGAUCCAUUGACACUAGUUUUGGCGUCACCAAAGGAAUCAGGGAGAUGUGCUUCAAUUCCCCUCGCAGAUAGUAUUUAACCCAUCACAGCAUCUCUCAAAGCACCCUGGGAACUGUAGUUUCCUAUGGGGGGAGAGAAUAUUCUGCACAACCUUUCCCAAGGGAACUCUGGGAGUUAUAACUCUGAGAGGGUCUCUUUGGGAAACAGAACAAACUACAGUUCCCACGAUGUUCCCCAAAGCACCAUGGGAACUAUUGCUUGCUCUGGGUGUUGAGGGUUGCGAAUCCCUUGACAGAUCUAGUUCCCAAGCCCAUUUCUUUUCCUAGGGAACUCUGGGAACUGUAGCUCAUGGGAGGAACAUCACUUGGUGUCCUGAAUUCUGGGAACUGUAGCUUGCUCAGGGCGCCUGAUUCCUUCUCCUUCUAGGCUACCGGAAUGGGCUGGAACCGCCAAGUGUCACCUUGGCCUGCGACUUUGAAGGCACCGCCUGCAGCUGGGAGGACGUCAGCAUGUCUGGGUACUGGUGGUGCCCAGGGUGGGGCAGAGGCUGGGUGUGCGGCCCCGACUCCCCCUUCAACCACAUUCUGGGCACCGACCAGGGUAAACUUGCUUCAUUUGAAAGGCAGAGAAGCAUUGCUUAGCAGGUAGAGCACCCCUUUGACCUGGCGCCCCCCAACCAGGCUGGUACAUGAGCACCUCGGAGCAGCGAACCAAGCCGCCUGACUCCGCUCCCUGACCAUGAGUGACGCAGCCACAGCCUGUGAACUCCGCACCUGGUACAGUAUGGCUGAGAAAGGGGUUUUCACACCGUACAGUAUCUGCUCUCUGACCGGGCUUGGUUUAAAAGCCUCCAAGUAUUCCUUGGAUCGAGCAGUGCUAAUAUUUGCUCUGCUAAUCUUUCCACCAAACUGGCCAGCUUCUGGAUUAAACACUGGAUGAAAUGCAGAUUACGUUCUGUAUUUAAAACAAAUGUCAAAUCAAUAAAAAAUUUUCAGGAGAAAUGCUAAAAAUAUAAUUGAGAAGAGACAAUUUAAGGAAAAUUCACCAGAAAGUAUUCCUCUUUGUUGCGGUUAGUGGCUGUGGACAUGGCAUAACAUUACAGCACAUGACUCCACCCCCCAAGAAUCAUGGGAACUGUAGUUUGCCCCUAAACUAUAAGUCUCAGCACAACACAUGACUGGCUUAUCAUAGAGACCACUGCAUGCAAAAACUUGUGGUGCUAGAAGAUCUUGCGCCUUAUAUUUACCCUGGGAUCCCAACCACCGCUGCCCAGGACACCAGAGUCAACUCUACGGCUGCAAAUAUAACGUUUGAAGUGUUUAAGGUGCAUUAUACAAAUGUGACACUAGAUGGCAAUUGUGAGGUUAUGGCAAAUUCAAUAUAUUCUUCAAAACACCUUUUUUUUUUAAAGUGUUUUCAUUUUUUAGAUUCCACCACUCACACAGGUUCAACGGAGUUGCUGUCCAUCUGAAGAUCAUAAGGCCUUUUGUGCCUAUAAUUAUCCCUCAGUUGGUAAAAUCAAAGAAGUACAAAAUACUUUACAACUCUCUCUCUCUCUCUCUCUCUCUCUAUAUAUAUAUAUAUAUAAAUGUUGGAAACAAGCCUCCUUCUUCGGGAGAAGCUGGCAACUCUCCCAGGCUCCCGGCUUGGUAUCCGGUGACCUCCCUGGCUGCAAUCCCCGCAGGAUCCAGGCUAGGUCUCAAUAGGCGACACUUCCCAGUGUGGGAAAUGCACACCCCCUCCCUCCUGCUUCCCUGGCAGGGAAAAGAGAUAGUCAGAAACGUCUGUUUACAUCCUUUAUUUCUGACUUUGCAGCACUACAG